AAUGACACCAUGAAAUUCUGCAUUGAUUUGCCAGAUUCACAGACUUUCUUCACAACCCACUUGCAUUUUGAUGGCUUUAUAGUGUUGAGUAGGAAACCUAGCAUGGAGACGAAUAAGGAGUCAUCUUUUUCCUAAAAAUUUUUUUGUUGGGACAGCUUUUGCUGCUCCAUAGCAAGCACUUAAAUGUAGGAACUCCAGCAAUGUACUGGGAUCAUUAGGACAGCCUGAGUCGUGAUGACCUCGUUUUGCAGUUAAAGAAAUGGGGGCCCUGAAGAUUUCAUGACGUCCACCCAGGUAGGAACAGUGGUAGGCAGUCAGGGGUUACAGGCAGGUUUGGGUCAAAUACCUGAAACCAACCCCAGGACAAGGAGGUUGCUGGUGUUUUAUUAACACCUACUGUGAGCCAAGGACUCUGCUCAGCACUUUACCCACCCAGUAACACUGCAUGAGAUUGUGGCUGAAGAAACAGAUGCAGAGAGGUGAAGUGAUUUUCCUGAGAUCACAUGGCUAGAAGCUGGAUUCUCUUCCCUGGCCAAGUCUCUGAGACCUUCUCCCAGGGUGAUGCAAAGCUACUGGCUACCAGCUUGGGCCUGU
rnacentral:sRNA from 1 species